rnacentral:tRNA from 1 species
CAGUAAGUAGUUUAAUAAAAAUCUUAAUUUUGGGGAUUAAUGAUGGGCCUUGCUCUUUACUGA